rnacentral:rRNA from 1 species
GAUGAACGCUGGCGGCGUGCCUAAUACAUGCAAGUCGAGCGAACGGACGAGAAGCUUGCUUCUCUGAUGUUAACGGCGGACGGGUGAGUAACACGUGGAUAACCUACCUAUAAGACUGGGAUAACUUCGGGAAACCGGAGCUAAUACCGGAUAAUAUUUUGAACCGCAUGGUUCAAAAGUGAAAGACGGUCCUGCUGUCACUUAUAGAUGGAUCCGCGCUGCAUUAGCUAGUUGGUAAGGUAACGGCUUACCAAGGCAACGAUGCAUAGCCGACCUGAGAGGGUGAUCGGCCACACUGGAACUGAGACACGGUCCAGACUCCUACGGGAGGCAGCAGUAGGGAAUCUUCCGCAAUGGGCGAAAGCCUGACGGAGCAACGCCGCGUGAGUGAUGAAGGUCUUCGGAUCGUAAAACUCUGUUAUUAGGGAAGAACAUAUGUGUAAGUAACUGUGCACAUCUUGACGGUACCUAAUCAGAAAGCCACGGCUAACUACGUG